UUAAAGGCACAGGGCCUGUGCCGGGCACUGAGCCAAGGGUGGGGUCAGAGAAUCGCUCCUCUGUACCUACACACAAUUCCUCAAGUUCAUCUUCCAUGCCUGGUGCUCCUCCAAGGACCCUGGGCACUGGGGAGGCCACAGGAUGCAAACCAGACUGAGUUUCGGUUCUUACGGGGCUUCCCUGGAGUGUCUCCCCUUCAAGAGCUUGGACUUUCAGUCUGGGCCAGCACCUUCAGUGCAAAAGCUCUGUGCUCCUGUCCCUCUGACGGGUUUGUCCUGUGCCUCUACCAACUUACCAGCCUUUGCAGAACCCCCAUCCCACCCACUGCAGACCACAAGCUCCAUGUAGUCAGGAUCUGUAUCCAGGACAGAGUCUAGCACCUAGAAUGCACAGGGCCGGAGAUGAACUGGAACAGCGUGCAAGAUUCUCCCCACCUGAUGCACGGAGACCCCAUAGCAGUGUGACUCUCACGGCCCUUUUCCAGACAAGGAAACCGAGACCCAGAAGGAAGACGUUGAAGAAACAGUGCCCUUUCAGAAAAAUGAAUACACAGUGCUGAUCGACCAUGUAAUUGGAUGCCAAGAUUCUCAUAUAUCUGAUCCCCUUCCACUUGUCUAUCCAAGUGACCGAAGGAGGGAACGACUCUUGUCUCCAUUUGAAAUGGUUGAAUGGUGCCCCCCAUUCUUCCCCAAAGAUGUGUCCAAUCUGGAACCUUCGAACAUGGGCUUGUUUGGAAAAAAAAAAGUGUUUGCAAGUAUGAUUAACAUGGGGUCCUUGACAGGUGGUCAUCCCAGUUUCCCUGGGUGAACCCUGAAUCCAAUGACCAGUGUCUUUAUCAGAAGAGAAGACCAGGCACAGAGGUGAAGCCAUGUUAGAUGUAAACAGAACUUAGAUUGUGGCAUGUAUGCCCAGGACUGCUGGCGGCCACUGAAACUUGGAAGGAGGCAUGGAAGGAUGUCCCCCCAAGAGCCUCAGAAGGGACUGACCAUUUAUAUCUUGAACUCCACAACGGAGGAAGAGUGGAUUUCUGUUGUUUUAAGCCACCCUGUUUAGGACGACAGGUUUCAGCCAUCCUAGGAAAUGAAGCCACCAUUUUAUAGACUGAGGUAUAACUCUGAGAAGUUCAAUGACUUACCCAAGUCCUAAAAUCCCAUGUGCUGUGGCUGGGAUUCAAACCCACAGCUUCACAGCUCAUCCUAACAUGAGGUUGGGGGUUUUUAAAGCAGCAUAACAUGCAUAAAGUGGUGCACGGAAAAACAGUUCCCCAAAUGCUAAUGGUGGCUCUCAGGAUGCCCAGAUUUCAAACAUUUUUUUUUCCAAACAUAACUUACCUUCUUCAACAUUCUUUUAUUAUUAUUAUUAUUAUUAUUAUUAUUGCAUUAUAGUUAUUCAUAAUAGUGGAGUUCAUUUUGACAUAUUCAUAAGUGCACAUACCAUAGUUUUCUCCAUUUCAAUCCCCAGUACCACCCCUCACCCCCCACCUCCCUCCUCUUCUGCUCCAUUUCCUCAGUAUUCCUAUAGAUUCUGCUUACAUUUCCUAAAGUAGCCAAAUUGACCAUUCCAUUUGAAAGAAAAAAAUAAAGAAAUUUUGUGGAGGGGUAGUGUAUAGCAACACACAGGGUUAACUGAAAAAGACAACGUACAAACGUCAGGGAAUGAGCCUUUGCUACCAUUGUGAGUACUGAUGUAUCCCUGUUUUGCAGGUGAGGAGCGAAGUUAAGUGGCUCAGAGUCAGUAAGUGCUGGGGACGUUGCAUUUAAAGUCUCCGUCAAAGAGAGUAUUCCCAGCUGGGUGCAGUGGUGCAUGUUUGUAAUCCCAGCGUCUCAGGAGGCUGAGGCAGGAGGAUCACAAGUUCAAAGCCAGCCUCAGCAAUUUAGCAAAGCCCUAAGCAAUUUAGCAAGACCUUGUCUCUAAAUAAAAUAUUUUUUUUUUAAAAAAAGGGGCUGGGGAUGUGGCUCAGUAGUUCAGUGGCCCCUGGGUUUAGUCCCCAGUACCAACGGGAGUAAUCCCUUAUCACCACCUGCUCUUUGGGUUUCCCCGGGUUCAAGUUAUUGGCCCCUCCUGGAAGCACACACUUUUGAUCUCAGACUGACGGGUGUUCAGGCCCCCAACUCACAGAAGAGAGAGGCGAUCAUCAUCUUGCUCUCUCUGCUCCUUGAUCCAACCAAUUCCUUGUUGCCUGGUGGAAAAUCUGAAAGUUCCUUGUGUGAAAGAUUGAUUGGGGUUUGAAGAGAGAAAACAAAAGACCCUACUUCUGCUCUUGCAAAAACCUAGGGGAAGUCCUGUCCUAGGAACCAUCGACGGAAUGGGGAUGGUUUUCACUGGCAAGUUUAAACCUGUCUCUUAUAAGCAACUUAUACCCAUGGUCUCGGGUCCUGGUGGCUUAGAGCUGUCUUCUAUGGGGCCCAGGGUUUAGCCAAAGAUAUGAAGGAAAAUUCAGGCUGAUCUCUUGUGUUUUGAGAUGGCCCCAGCCACACUUGGAGUUCUGAGGAUAUUCUAGAACCCUGAAUGCAGAGGAUUGGACUUGGAGGGCAUCUUAGCCGUGACCAGCAGACCUCACCAUAUGCCCCCUACUGCCCAUGCUCGGUGUAGACCUCGUCUUAUGGAGGCCUCUGGGUAAGCCUAAGAGUGAAGCUCCAUCAUCUGCAAUUUCCAACAGGAGAAAUGAACCUCUGUAGGACAUGGAGCUCAAAGGUGGCAGAACCGGAGACCUUCUCUGCAGCUGCCUGUCUACCCCUGGACACCUGGUGCCACAUGCAGAUAAGUGAGAGAUACACAGAAUGAAAAGUCCCUCCUAAGUUCCGGAAAGACAAAUACUGUAUGUUCUUAUU